rnacentral:ncRNA from 1 species
GUGUAGUAUGAAAAGAGAGGUUAGCAUUCCCCUUGACAAGGAUGGAAGAGGCUCUCGGGCUGGACAACAUGCAUAGGUUAAGACAUUGCCACCUACUUCGCGGCAUCUAACCAUCGUUUUUU